GAUUAAAACUCAAAGGAAUAGACGGGGACCCGCACAAGCGGUGGAGCAUGUGGUUUAAUUCGAAGAUACGCGAUAAACCUUACCUGGCCUUGACAUUGAUAGAAUCCUGUAGAGAUACGGGAGUGCCGGCUUGCCGGAACUUGAAAACAGGUGCUGCACGGCUGUCGUCAGCUCGUGUCGUGAGAUGUUGGGUUAAGUCCCGCAACGAGCGCAACCCACGUCCUUAGUUGCCAGCAUUUCGGAUGGGAACUCUAAGGAGACUGCCUUCGCAAGGAGGAGGAAGGUGUGGACGACGUCAAGCCAUCAUGGCCCUUACGGCCAGGGCUACACACGUGCUACAAUGGGGCGUACAAAGAGCAGCAAUACCGCGAGGUGGAGCAAAUCUCAAAAACGCCUCCCAGUUCAGAUUGCACUCUGCAACUCGAGUGCAUGAAGUUGGAAUCGCUAGUAAUCGUAGAUCAGCAUUGCUACGGUGAAUACGUUCCCGGGUCUUGUACUCACCGCCCGUCACACCAUGGGAGUUGAUUUCACCCGAAGCGGGGAUGC
rnacentral:rRNA from 1 species